GUUGCAGCCAACCCGCGGCGAACGAACACAUUGUCCCCCCCUUCGGCGGGUCGUGGCGCCUCGCGGCGUCGCGGCGCGCCGUCUCCCCUCGUCACGCGAGUGCGAGCUUCGUGGSGUCGGGUUUCCACACGAUGCAUCACCUUGAAUGACUGAGUCCCGAAUAGACUUGGAUGGAGGAGUGGGUGCGNUUCGUGCCCUCGAGCGAGCUCGGGGUGCGCGGCGCGCGCCGGUUACCUNACGACGAGUUGAAACUUAACAAAGAACAACUCUCAGCAACGGAUAUCUUGGCUCUUGCAACGAUGAAGAACGCAGCGAAAUGCGAUACGUAGUGUGAAUUGCAGAAUUCCGCGAAUCAUCGAGUCUUUGAACGCAAGUUGCGCCCGAGGNUUGUCCGAGGGCAUUUCCGCUAGAGNGUCACCGCGCCCCCCACCGAUCCGCUCCCGCCGCGAGGCGNGACGCGUGUCGAGUGGAAGUGGCCGUCCCUGCGAAGCGGCCUUCUUUCACGAGGAGUCCGCASUUGGCUAAGGGUCGGCUGAAAUGGAUGGAAUCGGGCCGCCGUGGUGACACAGUCCGCGAUCGGGUGAUUUCGUCGCGAGCCUCCUCCGUGAGGCUCUCNNNNNNNNNNNNNUAAGUGCUUGGCUGCGUCCCCCAGUUGGC
rnacentral:misc_RNA from 1 species